GAGUUUGUCCUGGCUCAGGACGAACGCUGGCGGCGUGCUUAACACAUGCAAGUCGAGCGAUGAAGCUCCUUCGGGAGCGGAUUAGCGGCGGACGGGUGAGUAACACGUGGGUAACCUGCCUCAUAGAGGGGAAUAGCCUUUCGAAAGGAAGAUUAAUACCGCAUAAGAUUGUAGUUUCGCAUGAAACAGCAAUUAAAGGAGUAAUCCGCUAUGAGAUGGACCCGCGUCGCAUUAGCUAGUUGGUGAGGUAACGGCUCACCAAGGCGACGAUGCGUAGCCGACCUGAGAGGGUGAUCGGCCACAUUGGGACUGAGACACGGCCCAGACUCCUACGGGAGGCAGCAGUGGGGAACAUUGCACAAUGGGGGAAACCCUGAUGCAGCAACGCCGCGUGAGUGAUGAAGGUCUUCGGAUUGUAAAACUCUGUCUUUGGGGACGAUAAUGACGGUACCCAAGGAGGAAGCCACGGCUAACUACGUGCCAGCAGCCGCGGUAAUACGUAGGUGGCAAGCGUUGUCCGGAUUUACUGGGCGUAAAGGGAGCGUAGGUGGAUAUUUAAGUGGGAUGUGAAAUACUCGGGCUUAACCUGAGUGCUGCAUUCCAAACUGGAUAUCUAGAGUGCAGGAGA
rnacentral:rRNA from 1 species